CGGCGGACGGGUGAGUAACACGUGGAUAACCUACCUAUAAGACUGGGAUAACUUCGGGAAACCGGAGCUAAUACCGGAUAAUAUAUUGAACCGCAUGGUUCAAUAGUGAAAGACGGUUUUGCUGUCACUUAUAGAUGGAUCCACGCCGCAUUAGCUAGUUGGUAAGGUAACGGCUUACCAAGGCAACGAUGCGUAGCCGACCUGAGAGGGUGAUCGGCCACACUGGAACUGAGACACGGUCCAG
rnacentral:rRNA from 1 species